CUACCAAAAACGAUAGUGACAAUAUGUAAUUAGACAUCAGAAAGGUGGAAAACCAAUGCAAAGAAUCAUCCCUUGGCAACCAUGUUUUGCCCCGCCUAGUUUUUCAAACCAAUGCAAAGAAUCAUCCCUUGGCAACCAUGUUUUGCCCCGCCUAGUUUUUCAAUUCAAAUUCCACGUAACAAAUUGAACUCGAUAUCAUAUUAGUCUUUCUACCACAAAUGUAAUUCAAAUCAACCGUUCAAUCCGACCCACUUCCUUUCCCAUCAAAUUUAGGCAAUUCAUUUUUCCUUGUUAAAAGUCACUAGCAAAUCUGCAAUAAUAUGUCAA
rnacentral:lncRNA from 1 species